rnacentral:lncRNA from 1 species
UUGAUACUACUAAGGCUGCUCUGGUAUCUUUGUUAAUGGUUGGAAUUGUCAUCUAGAUUAGUGGUCUAUUUUCAUUGUCAUCCAAGAAAGUAUACAUGACCACCCUAGACGAACAUGAUCUCCAAGCAGCAACAACAGCAACCAACGAAUAAAAAAAGGAAACCAGAAAAAGUAGUUGUGACACCCAAACCAGAGACGAUCCGCGGCAAGACAAGGACCUGCAGAGAAUGACAAGGAAAAGUUAAACAUCUUCCGACAGUCGGGCAAGCGCAGACCUGAUGACCCCAACUCCAACAUGAAUGAACUAGGAAAAAAUAUGGGUUAGAGAAGCCCAACCUUAGACCCACCAACGAUGAAGAACAUCACCUCGUAAACAACGACCAACACCAACGGCAAGGAAGCAAAAGGUCAAUGGAGGCAUGGGUGCACCAGG